CGGAGCCUGGCGGAAUUGGCGCAACCCCGAGCACCCUCACGCGACAGUCCCUGAUCGUGCCUCCAUACGGUUCGGGACCGUGAGGCCCCGGGUUCGAAUCCCGGGCCCCCGACCA
rnacentral:tRNA from 1 species